UUGGCCAUUAGAUUCCAGAUCAACUCAGAAUCCAAGUACAGUGCCCUAUAGGGAAUAUUUCUGGUUCUGUUAUUUGAAUGACAGAGUUGUUGCGCAGUAUUUCUAUUCCUUAAAUCUGACUGCAAUGAUGAUGGCAGUUUGGUUUAAUUUCUUCAAUGGAUAUGCUCCAGUUGCUGAGAUCGGGCAGCUAUUGGAAAGAUUGGACCAGAUUUUUCAUUGACGGCCUUGCAUUUUGUGAGCACAUUAGCUAUUCCGUCGCCCUGAGAGGACUGUGGGCUCAGGGUGGCAGCCUAACAGGACUGAGGAGGACAGUUCCUGUGGAGUUCUUCAUGGGGGAUACACAUGGUGCUGAUAUGAAAGAGACUCUGUUGGCAGAGAGAUUUCGGAUCACUUCAGAAUAUUAGUACAGUACCUUAUGACGAAUAUUCCUGGUUCUGUUAUUGGUAUGACAUGGUUGUUGGGCAGCAUGAAUAUUGACAGGAUUUCUGAACUGAUCAAUGCCGUAUAUUUGCAUUGAUUCAAUGGAUAUUUAUGCUUCAGUUGCUGAGAUCAGACAGCCUAAAAAAACGUGAACCAGGCUCAGAAUGGUAUCGGCAGGGUUUCUCUCCUGCAGCAUUGCAUUUGGGAGCACUAUCUUUAUUCCUCCGCCUUGAGUGGACUGUACGUGGGCUGAGGGGGGCAGCCCAGCACAGGACUGACAGGGGGGCAGUUACUGUGGAGUUCUUCAUGGGGGAUACACAUGGUGCUGAUUGGAUAGAGCACCUUAUGAUGAACAUUCUUGGUUCUGUUAUUGGUGUGACAAAGUUGUUUGGCAGAAUAAAUAUCGGCAGGAUUUCUAAAUCCGACUGAACUGAUGGUAGCAGUUAAUUUGAAUUUCUUCAAUAGAUGUGAUCCAGUUCCUCAGAUGAGGCAGGUAGAAGAGAUGUAUAUUAAAACAAUGUAGCAAUAGAAAAAGUAUACAGAAUAUUUUGAAUUUUUUUAACUUCCUUAGCUCGAAAUAGAUGGGACGGUUUUUAAUCUUCGAGGUAUCCGAGUAUUCAAGAUAUUGAAAGUAAAAUUCUUUUAAAA